rnacentral:lncRNA from 1 species
ACAAGAUAAUAAAUAACAUUGAAAAUCUAGAAUUAGAUAUACAUUAUAGCACAGAUAGGAUAAAUUAUUACACAGAAAUUUGUAACUCUGCAAUUACUACAGGAUAAAAAAAAUUAAUGAAUAUAUCUUACGAAAAAAGUAAAUUAUUAAAAGAUAUUGAAACAAAAUAUCCACGCACUAAUAAAAAUAGAUUCAAUAGAAACCUACUAAAUCUAUUAUACCUAUUAAAUCCG